AUUGAACGCUGGCGGCAGGCCUAACACAUGCAAGUCGAGCGGAUGAAGGGAGCUUGCUCCUGGAUUCAGCGGCGGACGGGUGAGUAAUGCCUAGGAAUCUGCCUGGUAGUGGGGGAUAACGUCCGGAAACGGGCGCUAAUACCGCAUACGUCCUGCGGGAGAAAGUGGGGGAUCUUCGGACCUCACGCUAUCAGAUGAGCCUAGGUCGGAUUAGCUAGUUGGUGGGGUAAAGGCCUACCAAGGCGACGAUCCGUAACUGGUCUGAGAGGAUGAUCAGUCACACUGGAACUGAGACACGGUCCAGACUCCUACGGGAGGCCGCAGUGGGGAAUAUUGGACAAUGGGCGAAAGCCUGAUCCAGCCAUGCCGCGUGUGUGAAGAAGGUCUUCGGAUUGUAAAGCACUUUAAGUUGGGAGGAAGGGCAGUAAGUUAAUACCUUGCUGUUUUGACGUUACCAACAGAAUAAGCACCGGCUAACUUCGUG
rnacentral:rRNA from 1 species